rnacentral:rRNA from 1 species
UACGUAGGGUGCAAGCGUUGUCCGGAAUUAUUGGGCGUAAAGAGCUCGUAGGCGGUCUGUCGCGUCUGCUGUGAAAACUCAGGGCUUAACCCUGGGCCUGCAGUGGGUACGGGCAGACUAGAGUGCGGUAGGGGAGACUGGAAUUCCUGGUGUAGCGGUGAAAUGCGCAGAUAUCAGGAGGAACACCGGUGGCGAAGGCGGGUCUCUGGGCCGUAACUGACGCUGAGGAGCGAAAGCGUGGGGAGCGAACAGG